AUGCACGCUGGCGGCGUGCCUAAUACAUGCAAGUCGAGCGAACAGACGAGGAGCUUGCUCCUCUGACGUUAGCGGCGGACGGGUGAGUAACACGUGGAUAACCUACCUAUAAGACUGGGAUAACUUCGGGAAACCGGAGCUAAUACCGGAUAAUAUAUUGAACCGCAUGGUUCAAUAGUGAAAGACGGUUUUGCUGUCACUUAUAGAUGGAUCCGCGCCGCAUUAGCUAGUUGGUAAGGUAACGGCUUACCAAGGCAACGAUGCGUAGCCGACCUGAGAGGGUGAUCGGCCACACUGGAACUGAGACACGGUCCAGACUCCUACGGGAGGCAGCAGUAGGGAAUCUUCCGCAAUGGGCGAAAGCCUGACGGAGCAACGCCGCGUGAGUGAUGAAGGUCUUCGGAUCGUAAAACUCUGUUAUUGGGGAAGAACAAAUGUGUAAGUAACUAUGCACGUCUUGACGGUACCUAAUCAGAAAGCCACGGCUAACUACGUG
rnacentral:rRNA from 1 species